rnacentral:lncRNA from 1 species
AGUCAAGGUAAAGGUAUCUCUUUCUGGAGAUCCCUGCAUAGCUGAGGUCUUCCAAAGCGUGAGCUAAUCAGGCAAUUUUAUGUAUGACAACGAACAACCCCAUCCUUGCAAUGAUUUUCUGCACUUUGGGUGCACUUGGCUUUGUUGUACCGUGCAGCACUUGAAGAGACAAUUAUCUCCGCUCUGUGAAGAAUGAGAUACAGAGAAGGGAUAGAAGUGCACAGUCAGUCUGAGUGCAUUAAGGAUUUAACAUUUCAAUGGCCUUGAGGGCAAACCUUGCUACUUUGGACUCCACCCCAAGGCUAAGUGAUAAAGUAUGGAGUGGAGGGCAGUAUGAUUCCAACAGGGGUCAAAAUGAUGUCCUGGGAACCAAGAUUGAGAAAUUAGAGGAGAUGGGCCCAAUGCAGCCUUGAUGAAAUCUAGAGGAAGAGAAGAUUUCUGCUAUUGCUCUGCAGCAUCCUGACUGAGUUUGUUGGGAGCCAUGGGCUCUGGUGGUGUUUGCAGCAGUUCCUUCCUUUUAAUUCUCUGCAUGUGAGGAAUGCCCUGAAUGGCAAGUAGACUCUUCCCAGUAUGAAGACCCUCAAAGGACUCACUUGCAGCCCUGCUUCUUGGAUUUGAUUUAAUAUGACAUUCUGAUAUUGCCAGGUCUGUUGUCUUUAUCUGCUGCCUUGUGAUAGCUGAAGACUUAAUGAGACUGUAAAUUUGGAAACAAAUGGUUACCUGAAAAUGUUUUUGUUUUUUUUUUAAGUAAACACAUUUAUGAUUUUCACAAUAGAAAAGUCACUUUGAAAAGAAUUCAACUUUCUCUAGUUUGUUUUUUUUUUCAGUCUCACAUCCAAUCUGAUUGUUUGGGAUGAGCAGAGAUUGGGUACUAAGUCACUUGUAGGGUCAGAAAGAAUGCAGCUAGAAUGAAAGGCCAUUCAGGUUUCUGGAGGGAAUUCCUGGGAUUUUGAAAAAUAAGUGGGUUUGUCAUUAACUGCCUUUGCUCACUUCAUAUUAUUUUAUUUAUGCUGCAGUUAUGUUUGUUGAUGGAUUGGCUACCUUGUCUGGCCAACUGCUUAAUCUCACUUUACCAAGUGUGGGUUUGCAGAGAUGUAGGAGCAGAUGGAUACCUUUGUUCCAGUAAAUCUUUU